ACUCAAAGGAAUUGACGGGGGCCCGCACAAGCGGUGGAGUAUGUGGUUUAAUUCGAAGCAACGCGCAGAACCUUACCAGCUCUUGACAUGUUAGGUAUGGGUAUCAGAGAUGAUAUCCUUCAGUUCGGCUGGCCUAAACACAGGUGCUGCAUGGCUGUCGUCAGCUCGUGUCGUGAGAUGUUGGGUUAAGUCCCGCAACGAGCGCAACCCUCACCGUUAGUUGCCAUCGGGUAAAGCUGGGCACUCUAGCGGAACUGCCGGUGAUAAACCGGAGGAAGGUGGGGAUGACGUCAAGUCCUCAUGGCCCUUAUGGGCUGGGCUACACACGUACUACAAUGGUGGUGACAGAGGGCAGCGAAGGAGCAAUCCGGAGCGAAUCCUUAAAAGCCACCUCAGUUCGGAUUGUCCUCUGCAACUCGAGGGCAUGAAGUCGGAAUCGCUAGUAAUCGCGGAUCAGCAUGCCGCGGUGAAUACGUUCACGGGCCUUGUACACACCGCCCGU
rnacentral:rRNA from 1 species